rnacentral:rRNA from 1 species
AGGCAGCAGUGGGGAAUCUUGCGCAAUGGGCGGAAGCCUGACGCAGCAACGCCGCGUGUGGGAAGACGGCUUUCGGGUUGUAAACCACUUUCAGGGGGGACGAAGCUUCCGAGGUUAAUAGCCUACGGGGUGACGGUACCCCCAGAAGAAGCCCCGGCUAACUACGUGCCAGCAGCCGCGGUAAUACGUAGGGGGCGAGCGUUGUCCGGAAUCAUUGGGCGUAAAGCGCGUGUAGGCGGCUUGAUAAGUCUGGUGUGAAAUCUUGGGGCUUAACCCCAAGCCUGCACUGGAUACUGUCAAGCUUGAGUCCGGGAGGGGAGAGCGGAAUUCCUAGUGUAGCGGUGAAAUGCGCAGAUAUUAGGAAGAACACCGGUGGCGAAGGCGGCUCUCUGGAACGGUACUGACGCUGAGACGCGAAAGCGUGGGGAGCGAACAGGAUUAGAUACCCUGGUAG